CCCUCGCGCCGGGGGCGGGCUUGCUGCGCGUGCCGGGCGGGGAAACUGCGCGAGCCGGGCGCCUGAGAACGUUCCCCGCGGGGGCGGCUCCGGGGCCUGAGCGGGCGCCGCCGCCACCUCAGCCGCCGGGGCCGGGCCGGAGGAGGCGGAGGAGGCUGCGGCCGCCCGAGACCCUCUCGACGUCCCCAGCUCCGGCCGGGAAGUAACCCAGGUUUCUAGGUCUGGGAAUUUAAAGCAAUGGCCAGGGUAAUGGAGUGGUGAUGUUUUGGGACCACCCUGCCACAUCUUUAUUGCAUAUUGGCCAUCAGGAGCUUACUUCUUGGGACAUUGCUUCAAAUCAUCCAAUUCUGGUCCUUCUCUUUUCUAUCACUCGAGGAAGAAGAGUACUUUUGUCUAGGAUGAUUGAGGAAAGUGGGAACAAGCGGAAGACCAUGGCGGAGAAAAGGCAGCUGUUCAUAGAAAUGCGUGCUCAGAAUUUUGAUGUCAUACGACUAUCAACUUAUAGAACAGCUUGCAAAUUACGAUUUGUACAAAAACGAUGCAACCUCCAUCUUGUUGAUAUCUGGAACAUGAUUGAAGCCUUCCGAGACAAUGGCCUUAAUACACUGGACCAUACCACUGAGAUCAGUGUGUCCCGCCUCGAAACUGUCAUCUCCUCUGUCUACUACCAGCUGAACAAGCGCCUUCCUUCUACUCACCAAAUCAGCGUGGAGCAGUCCAUCAGCCUCCUCCUCAACUUUAUGAUUGCUGCAUAUGACAGUGAGGGCCGAGGCAAGUUGACCGUAUUUUCAGUUAAAACUAUGUUAGCAACCAUGUGUGGUGGAAAAAUGCUGGACAAACUGAGAUAUGUUUUCUCCCAGAUGUCAGAUUCCAAUGGCUUAAUGAUAUUUAGCAAGUUUGACCAGUUUCUGAAGGAAGUUCUGAAGCUCCCAACAGCUGUCUUUGAAGGGCCAUCUUUUGGUUACACAGAGCACUCAGUCCGCACCUGUUUUCCACAGCAGAAAAAGAUAAUGCUAAAUAUGUUUUUAGACACAGUGAUGGCCGAUCCCCCUCCCCAGUGCCUUGUCUGGCUACCUCUCAUGCAUAGGCUCGCCCAUGUUGAGAACGUCUUCCACCCCGUGGAGUGCUCCUACUGCCGCUGCGAGAGCAUGAUGGGCUUCCGGUACCGGUGCCAGCAGUGCCACAACUACCAGCUCUGCCAAAACUGCUUUUGGCGCGGCCAUGCCAGUGGCCCUCACAGCAACCAGCACCAGAUGAAGGAGCACUCGUCCUGGAAAUCCCCUGCAAAGAAGCUGAGCCAUGCAAUUAGUAAAUCUCUGGGGUGCGUACCCACCAGAGAACCCCCGCAUCCUGUUUUUCCUGAGCAACCAGAGAAACCACUUGACCUUGCAAAUAUAGUUCCACCUCGGCCGCUGACUAAUAUGAAUGACACCAUGGUGAGCCACACGUCCUCCGGAGCGCCCACCCCCACCAAGAGGUUACAGUAUAGCCAGGACAUACCCAGUCACUUGGCCGAUGAGCAUGCGCUGAUAGCCUCCUAUGUGGCCCGUCUGCAACACUGUGCACGUGUCCUGGACAGUCCAAGCCGACUGGAUGAGGAACACCGACUUAUAGCUCGCUAUGCUGCCCGGCUGGCUGCAGAAGCAGGAAACAUGACCCGUCCUCCCACUGACUUGAGCUUUAACUUUGAUGCCAACAAGCAACAAAGACAGCUUAUUGCAGAACUGGAAAACAAAAACAGGGAGAUCCUGCAAGAGAUCCAGCGUCUCCGUCUGGAGCACGAGCAGGCUUCCCAGCCCACCCCUGAGAAGGCGCAGCAGAACCCCACAUUGCUGGCAGAGCUGCGGCUGCUGAGGCAGAGGAAAGAUGAGCUGGAGCAGAGAAUGUCGGCACUGCAGGAGAGCAGGCGUGAGCUGAUGGUUCAGCUGGAAGGGCUGAUGAAGCUGCUGAAGGAGGAAGAGCAAAAGCAGGCAGCUCAGGCCACAGGGUCACCACAUACAUCGCCCACUCACGGAGGCAGCCGCCCAAUGCCCAUGCCUGUCCGCUCCACGUCUGCUGGCUCCACCCCCACCCACUGCCCACAGGACCCACUGAGCGGAGUCGGGGGAGACAUGCAGGAGGCCUUUGCACAAGGUACGAGGAGAAACCUCCGCAAUGACCUGCUGGUGGCCGCUGACUCCAUCACCAACACCAUGUCAUCCCUGGUGAAGGAGCUCCACUCAGGUUAGCAGAGGAGCUGGGACAGAGAGAGUGCAGGGGUCCAAACCACUGCCAGUGCCCCUGGGGUUCCAACACGCAGAGCUGUGACCUGCCGCCGUACCUGCCCACAGACUGAAUUUCCAUCAUGCAGGAUCACCCUCAAUGCAUAACGCCGCCCGAGCCCCUUCCCGUGGUGCCUGUCAGCCCGCACCCUCUCACGUCCUUUGGGGCCUGCUCACUAGAAAGAAGGGAUGAAAAUAAUUGGACAACCACAUCUGUUCAGGAGAAGAGUUCUUUCAAGGAUAGAUGUCUUCGGUUGGGCCAUGAGAUGUCUCUUUGUCGAUCUUGCCUGCCCUCCCCUCCCCCACUUCUUGUGUGUAAGUCAGGCCGUGGUCCUCCGUUACAGAUCUUCCAGGCAAAAGAGCCAGGGCUGCAGCCCCAUAAUCCCAAAAAAGGAACUUUUCCAGGCCUUCCGAGGAGUCCCAUCCUGGAGCAGCCUCCCAGCCUUUUCCCGGUCGCCCGGCCCCCAUCGGCACCAGGCCCGGAGGGGUUCUGUUCUGCUCCCGCUGCGGGGCCGGCUGUCUCUGAGCCCGCACUGACUCAGGGAUGGUUCGAGCACAUGAGCUGCAGAAAUUCUCCCGCUGCCCUGGAAAACUCAGGGCCUCCGGGGCUUGGGCUGGGCUCUACCUAAUCUCGCUGCACAUUCAGGCAAGGCCCUUCCCAACAGCAGGCCUAGGCUGCCCCAGCCAAGGAGGCUGUCAGGAUCUGACUUGCCCCUCAGGAGCCUGCCAGAGCCCCUCUCCCCCGGGCACAGAGGAACUGGGGGAUAAGGAAAAGGCAUGCUGGAGCCAUCCAACCCCCCCCCCCCCUUCAUGCAGAUGAGGAAACGAAAGCCCACGGCCUGGGAGCUUGGUGCCAGAAGUGGAAUCAGAGUGGCGUCUCCUGAUGCUGUCCUCUGGCCCUGUCGGGAGUUCCAAGAAACUCACUGGUAGUAGACAGGGGACAUGCAGCAAGCUGGCGUUGACAUGAGGAAGGCGAGGCCCUCCCCCAGAGGCGCAUUCCUGUCCAUCUUUCCGCUGCACACCUGGACCAGGCUUGCGGGCUGCCAGACGUCACUACCUGGCAGGGAGAGGGGAGCCAGAGCUGGUGGGAAGUGGGAGGGGCCGCCCGUUGCCGCCUCCGGUGGGCCUCCCCCUUGCAACAGUCCUGCAUGAACUAGCAUCUUCAUCACUCCCCUCGGGCCAUGGUCUCAUCUCUGCAACAGGAAUUUACCGGGA